rnacentral:tRNA from 2 species
GCCAGCAUAGCUCAAUUGGCAGAGCAGCCGCCUUGUAAGCGGCAGGUUGUCGGUUCAAGUCCGACUGCUGGCUCCA